GACGAACGCUGGCGGCGUGCCUAAUACAUGCAAGUUGAGCGCUGAAGGUUGGUACUUGUACCAACUGGAUGAGCAGCGAACGGGUGAGUAACGCGUGGGGAAUCUGCCUUUGAGCGGGGGACAACAUUUGGAAACGAAUGCUAAUACCGCAUAAAAACUUUAAACACAAGUUUUAAGUUUGAAAGAUGCAAUUGCAUCACUCAAAGAUGAUCCCGCGUUGUAUUAGCUAGUUGGUGAGGUAAAGGCUCACCAAGGCGAGGAUACAUAGCCGCACUGGGAGGGUGAUCGGCCACAUUGGGACUGUGACAGGCCCCAAACUCAUACAGGAGGCGGCAGUAGGGCAACUUCGGCCAGCAGCGAGAGUCUGACCGAGAAACGCCGAGUGAGUGAAGAGGGUUUUCGGGUCGUAAAACUCUGUUGGUAGAGAAGAACGUUGGUGAGAGUGGAAAGAUCAUCAAGUGACGGUAACUACCCAGAAAGGGACGGCUAACUACGUG
rnacentral:rRNA from 1 species